rnacentral:rRNA from 1 species
GAUGAACGCUGGCGGCGUGCCUAAUACAUGCAAGUCGAGCGAACGGACGAGAAGCUUGCUUCUCUGACGUUAGCGGCGGACGGGAGAGUAACACGUGGAUAACCUACCUGUAAGACUGGGAAAAUCUCGGGAAACCGGAGCUAAUACCGGAUGAUAUUUUGAACCGCAUGGGUGAAAAGAGAAAGACGGUGUUGCUGUCUCUUAUAGAUGGAUCCGCGCUGCAUUAGCUAGUUGGUAAGGUAAAGGCUUACCAAGGGAACGAUGCGUAGCCGACCUGAGAGGGUGAUCGGCCACACUGGAACUGAGACACGGUCCAGACUCCUACGGGAGGCAGCAGUAGGGAAUCGUCCGCAAUGGGCGAAAGCCUGACGGAGCAACGCCGCGUGAGCGAUGAAGGUCUUCGGAUCGUAAAACUCUGUUAUUAGGGAAGAACAGAUGUGUAAGUAACUGUGCACAUCUUGACGGUACCUAAUCAGAAAGCCACGGCUAACUACGUG